AAAAGCUCCGGCAGUAUAGGAUGGUCCCGCGUCUGAUUAGCUGGUUGGCGGGGUAACGGCCCACCAAGGCGACGAUCAGUAGCCGGCUUGAGAGAGUGGACGGCCACAUUGGGACUGAGACACGGCCCAAACUCCUACGGGAGGCAGCAGUGGGGAAUAUUGCACAAUGGGGGGAACCCCGAUGCAGCGACGCCGCGUGAGUGAAGAAGUAUUUCGGUAUGUAAAGCUCUAUCAGCAGGGAAGAAAAAAGACGGUACCUGACUAAGAAGCCCCGGCUAACUACGUGCCAGCAGCCGCGGUAAUACGUAGGGGGCAAGCGUUAUCCGGAAUUACCGGGUGUAAAGGGUGCGUAGGUGGCAUGGUAAGUCAGAAGUGAAAGCCCGGGGCUUAACCCCGGGACUGCUUUUGAAACUGUCAUGCUGGAGUACAGGAGAGGUAAGCGGAAUUCCUAGUGUAGCGGUGAAAUGCGUAGAUAUUAGGAGGAACACCAGUGGCGAAGGCGGCUUACUGGACUGUCACUGACACUGAUGCACGAAAGCGUGGGGAGCAAACAGGAUUAGAUACCCUGGUAGUCCACGCCGUAAACGAUGA
rnacentral:rRNA from 1 species